CGGGGCGUAGCGCAGUCUGGUAGCGUACCUGAAUGGGGUUCAGGGGGUCGGAGGUUCGAAUCCUCUCGCCCCGACCA
rnacentral:tRNA from 1 species